rnacentral:lncRNA from 1 species
AAUUAUACACUUAUCAAAUUCUCCCACACUUGAGCCAUGCUUGUCUUCAAGCAUAAACUAGGGCAAAUGGAAAUGUGAAUAAAAAUACAACCUAAAGAAAUACUUAACUCAAAUUGACAUUUGAAAUUAUCAUUAUAUAUCAAAUGGAACAAGCAGUAAACAUAUUUUUACAAAUACAUUCGAAAUCUAGUAUGCUAAACAAGAUAUAGCAGCAACAAUGAUUCAUACAAUUAGAAAGGAUUAGAAGCAAUAGACCUUUUUGCUCGAGUGUGACUGUCUUCCCUAAUAAUAUGCAAUGUAUAAGAGAUAUUAAAAAAAUCAAGAGAAUAUAUUCAAACUUCAUCAUGCUAUCAAAAGUCACUAGGUUUUCA